GGCCUCCCGAUCUGUGGAGGGAAAGCCCAGCCCUUCUUUCAUGUCGCCCCCAUGGAAUUUCUGAUUGAUUCCAUAUCACUCUGAAAAACCUCGUGAUUACCAUAGAGAACGUAUUUAAACGGGAGUAUUGUAUUACAUAGGGUUGUAUGUAGACUACUAAUGGGAAAGGGCUGUCAGCUGUCAUUCUCAACCGACAGGGAUUUUCACAUGGCCAUCAUGG